GUGAUCUGUGUUCUGUCCUGGAGGUUGGAAAACUGGUUAAAGAAGCUGCGUCCCGGAGCAAUCUGAAGCGGGUGACGCUGGAGCUGGGGGGGAAGAACCCCUGCAUCGUGUGUGCAGAUGCUGACUUGGACUUGGCAGUGGAGUGUGCCCAUCAGGGAGUAUUCUUCAACCAAGGCCAGUGUUGCACGGCAGCCUCCAGGGUGUUCGUGGAGGAGCAGGUCUACUCUGAGUUUGUCAGGCGGAGCGUGGAGUAUGCCAAGAAACGGCCCGUGGGAGACCCCUUCGAUGUCAAAACAGAACAGGGGCCUCAGAUUGAUCAAAAGCAGUUCGACAAAAUCUUAGAGCUGAUCGAGAGUGGGAAGAAGGAAGGGGCCAAGCUGGAAUGCGGGGGCUCAGCCAUGGAAGACAAGGGGCUCUUCAUCAAACCCACUGUCUUCUCAGAAGUCACAGACAACAUGCGGAUUGCCAAAGAGGAGAUUUUCGGGCCAGUGCAACCAAUACUGAAGUUCAAAAGUAUCGAAGAAGUGAUAAAAAGAGCGAAUAGCACCGACUAUGGACUCACAGCAGCCGUGUUCACAAAAAAUCU
rnacentral:sRNA from 1 species